CGGGGUUGUAUUGUAACCAAGCUGUAAGUGUCCAUGAUGCAUGGGUAUGAUACGACCUGGG
rnacentral:pre_miRNA from 1 species